rnacentral:lncRNA from 1 species
AGAUUAUUCUUUGAUUGAAUCCUACUUCUCAAAAAAAACCAAAACAAAACAAAACAAAAAACCUCCCCUAGUUCAUUCCCAAAACCUGUUCUAGCUCUACUUUAAAACACAUUUUCAACCUGUACUUAAACAGCCCCGAAAAAGAAGUGAUGUUUCUCUGACACUACAUUCAGGGUUUCCUGCUCUGCACAGAGCAUUCCCGGCAGGCAUUUCUCGGCGAGACAAGUUGCUGGGAGGAUUUGAACUCGAUGUCAAGAUCCGUCCGUGCUUCGAGGCACAGCGUCCCGAUCUCGCCCGCUCCCAGCGGCCGGGAGCAGCGGGAUAGCAGAUACGUAAGGAAACGAGAUGAACACAACGACCUCACAGCACGGCGGGGACAGCGGGCGUGCACCGCUCGAUCCCGCCUAGCUGCCCCAAACGACAGCAUCCCGGCAAAAGGGAAGGCUCGGCAGCGGAGAGGUGCAGCAAAGCGGGAACAGCCGGGACACAGCGGGGCUGGACCCGCGGUGAGUGAUAUUGGAGACACUCCCCAUGCUCCCCAGCCAGGCCAUGCCCAGCUCUGAGCGCUCAUUGCAAACAAGGAGGAGCUGGGGCUGCUGUGACCAGAAGCAAGGGACAUUCCUUCUCACACUGUCCCAGCUGUGGCUCCUCAGGCAGCACAGUGAAACCUCCCAGCGAUGCUGAAAAGAGGAACCAGUCUGGAUCUGCAAACUCAGCCUGGACUUGGAGGCAAAGAAGGGUUGAAUGCACCACAGGGAUGUACAAGCAGCUAAGCCCCAGGUAGGCAGGGGGGCAGUUGAGGUUGGAAUUCAGGAGAGAACUGAUGCUGGCAGAAGAUAAGAAGGCACCAGAGUAGUGAAUUCAGCUUGGAGUAAGUUUUUCUUGGGAAGAACUCUGUGUUUUCCAGCACAGAGCGUAUUGACAGUCUGCAGCUGUGGACAACAGCAGAGUGUGGAUCUAACUCCUGCCUGAGCAGAAAUCAUGGGCUUGGAAAGCACUUGUUCUGGCAAACAAGUAUAGAGAGCUUAUGCUAGAGAGCUGGGUGACACAGGCACAAAUACAACCCAACAACAUAGUUAAUUGUUGGUGAAGAUUUACCCUUUGUCCUUAUUAGCUUGCCUUUAAACAGAUAUGAUAAAUGCUGUUCAUUACUCAAAUGUAUUCUGAAGGAGUCUAAACUUCCCCAGCUCACUCUUUAAUCAUGCUCUGGCUUUCACAUUUGUGUUUCCUUCCAAGAUGCUGGUAAUAAAUAAAGUUUUGAAAUGGUCA